ACUCCUUGUCUUUCGGGCUUAUUUUUUCUGACAGGAAGAAAAAAAAAAGGCUUUACAUGAGAACGGAUCAAGCGUUCGAGAGUUGGGACAGGGAAAUGUGAGACGUACUUUCAUGUAUAUAUUUCUAAUAUUAUUUUUUCGUCUUGUAUUCUCGUUAAUUUUUCUCUAGGAAACACUGGAACGACACUGCUUAAAUUGAAGCACAGUGUGCGAAUGACCUGCUACGCUCGGAACUGUUAUCACCAUUCGGGAAGAAAUUGGGUAAGAAUGGAUUGUGUGUGGCGCGCUUCACCGCAUGUGGACUAGAGUAGAUCUAGGAACAUCAGACAAGAAGACACGUAUGUGAAACCCUGCGGAUAGCCCAUAUGUGAACUUUUUUUCCAGAAACGGAGGAACGGACACCGGUCGUGCCGUGAGCACUAUUCUGCAGGGCAUACUUACAAAUGAAGCUGCACUGCAGUUCAGCUGGAAAGGGUCGCAGGGGAGGAAGCACGCCUUCGUGAAGCUCAUGGCCAUCACGAAUAUAACAUCUGUGAGGAGCACGUUCCCUGACGCUUCACUAGCAUCAGUGGCUGGAGUCGCAAAACGCUGGUUGGUUGGAGCAGCUGACAGGGAUGGAGGCCGGAAUGAAAGAAGGCGCCGUGACCCUGCUUCAAGCCCACCAAAUAUGAACUAGUGUUUGAAACUUGUGAACGUGUCGGUGUACAUAUGCAAUUACA
rnacentral:lncRNA from 1 species